GCGGGGAUACAAAUAUAAGACGAGAAGACCCCAUGGAGCUUUAAACCCAACGACACCCAUUUUCUUUAUACCCUAGUAUUCAUUUGGCUAUGUUUGAUUGGUUUUAGGUUGGGGUGACCACGGAGCAUAAAAUAACCUCCACGAAGAAGAGACUAAUAAUCUUUAUCAAAGAAGUACACUUCUAAGAAUUAACAAAUUAAUUUCCAAUGAUCCGAUAUUCGAUCAACGAACCAAGUUACCCUGGGGAUAACAGCGCAAUCCACCUCAAGAGCUCCUAUCGACAGGUGGGUUUACGACCUCGAUGUUGGAUCAGGAUAUCCCAGUGGUGUAGCAGCUACUAAAGGUUCGUUUGUUCAACGAUUAAAAUCCU
rnacentral:rRNA from 1 species